AUGAGAAGCUGCCCCUCGCGGGUAGAUCUCCCACCCUUUGCAAACUUACCUUUGUUGCUUUGGCAGGCCCGUCUCCGGACCGCCGGCUCCGGCUGGCCCGCGCCUGCCAGAGGAUUCUAAAACUCUGUCUGUCAGUGUUGUCUGAGUCUAUAUACAAUCGUUA
rnacentral:misc_RNA from 1 species